GAUUAAGAACGUAGCGAAAUGCGAUAAGUAAUGUGAAUUGCAGAAUUCAGUGAAUCAUCGAGUCUUUGAACGCACAUUGCGCCCCCUGGUAUUCCGGGAGGCAUGCCUGUCCGAGCGUCAUUGCUGCCCUCAAGCACGGCUUGUGUGUUGGGCCCCCGUCCCCGGUUUCCCCCGGGGACGGGCCCGAAAGGCAGCGGCGGCACCGCGUCCGGUCCUCGAGCGUAUGGGGCUUUGUCACCCGCUCUGUAGGCCCGGCCGGCGCCAGCCGACACCCAACUUUAUUUCUAAGGUUGACCUCGGAUCAGGUAGGGAUACCCGCUGAACUUAAGCAUAUCAAUAAGCGGAGGA
rnacentral:misc_RNA from 1 species